AGAGUUUGAUCCUGGCUCAGAGCGAACGCUGGCGGCAGGCCUAACACAUGCAAGUCGAGCGCCCAGCAAUGGGAGCGGCAGACGGGAGAGUAACACGUGGGAACGUACCCUUCAGUUCGGAACAACCCAGGGAAACUUGGGCUAAUACCGAAUACGUCCGUAAGGAGAAAGAUUUAUCGCUGAAGGAUCGGCCCGCGUCUGAUUAGCUAGUUGGUGAGGUAACGGCUCACCAAGGCGACGAUCAGUAGCUGGUCUGAGAGGAUGAUCAGCCUCACUGGGACUGAGACACGGCCCAGACUCCUACGGGAGGCAGCAGUGGGGAAUAUUGGACAAUGGGCGCAAGCCUGAUCCAGCCAUGCCGCGUGGAUGAUGAAGGCCCUAGGGUUGUAAAGUCCUUUCGACGGGGAAGAUAAUGACGGUACCCGUAGAAGAAGCCCCGGCUAACUUCGUGCCAGCAGCCGCGGUAAUACGAAGGGGGCUAGCGUUGCUCGGAAUCACUGGGCGUAAAGCGCACGUAGGCGGACUCUUAAGUCGGUGGUGAAAUCCUGGAGCUCAACUCCAGAACUGCCUUCGAUACUGAGAGUCUCGAGUCCGGGAGAGGUGAGUGGAACUGCGAGUGUAGAGGUGAAAUUCGUAGAUAUUCGCAAGAACACCAGUGGCGAAGGCGGCUCACUGGCCCGGUACUGACGCUGUGGUGCGAAAGCGUGGGGAGCAAACAGGAUUAGAUACCCCCGUAGUCC
rnacentral:rRNA from 1 species